rnacentral:rRNA from 1 species
UACGUAGGGGGCUAGCGUUGUCCGGAAUCAUUGGGCGUAAAGCGCGUGUAGGCGGUCCGGUAAGUCCGCUGUGAAAGUCGGGGGCUCAACCCUCGAAUGCCGGUGGAUACUGUCGGGCUAGAGUGCGGAAGAGGCGAGUGGAAUUCCUGGUGUAGCGGUGAAAUGCGCAGAGAUCGGGAGGAACACCCGUAGCGAAGGCGGCACUCUGGGCCGGUACUGACGCUGAGGAGCGAAAGCGUGGGGAGCAAACAGG